AUAAGAUUCAUUCAAGUUAAUCAGUAUGAUCUUUUCAAGUUGUUCAGAAAUUCUUUGAGGUGUAUAUCGAGGCAACUGUCAGAGCAAGUGUUCAUUUCUAGCUUGAGAAAUUGUCUCAUUCUCUACAAUGCCAUUAACAAGACAAUCCAGGCACUGUAGCCAGGGUGCAUUGUUCACUGUUUUUUUAAAAGAAUUCUGGGGAAAGGAAAAGUAGUUUAAGAAAGUGCUUUCUUUUAUUUUUUUUCUGUGUUGAUAUGAUCAAAACCCUAACCAUGAUAAAUUAUGUUUGCGUCUUACUUUCUACAGUAUUUUGUUACAAUUACUUUAAAGUAUGAAAAUUUUGAGUUAUAUGUUAUUUGUGGAA